GGCCUCGUCUCCAACUCCGGCUACGGGAAGACUCCGUCAGGACUCUCACGGUAGCCGGACCUCAUCCCCGACUUCGGCUGAAGGAAGACUUCGUCCGGACUCCUACGGGAGCCAGACUCCGGGCUCCUCUCAGACGGAUAGCUAACCACCUCUCUCCACCAGACACUCCAGCCGAACUUCAGCCGACAGGCCUGCACUCCCUGGCACGCCGCAGCCACGUCCACGAUCCUGCUCCACUUCCUGCGACGGAUUUCACGCGGCACCAUCACUCCCUGACGGGCCGCAGUAAUGGCCAUGACUCUGCUCCACUUCCUGCGAUGGAUUUCGUGCGGCUCCAUUACUCCCUGGCAGACCGCAAUGAUGCCCAC
rnacentral:lncRNA from 1 species